UCCAAGGAGAGCGAUCUGGAUGACAAGUUUCAGCAUCUGAAUCUGAGAGCGGAGGAGGAGGAAUAUGUGAUUCUUGAGGAGGAUUUGGAAGAGUUGGAAAAGGAUGCUGAAUUCAUGGCCCUGGCUACGGUUCAUACUACACGCAAAUUCAGUCACGGUGCAUUCUACGGGAUGAUGCUAUUUGCGUGGAACCUGGCACAAGAAGUGGAGUUUAGGGCAAUUGAGGACAACUUGUUUUCAGUGCAGAUGACAUGCCUUGUAGAUUGGGAACGAGUGAUGAAGGAUGGUCCAUGGAUCUUCAGAAACUACCCGGUUCUGAUGGCGAGUUAUGAUGGAUGGUCUGAACCAAAUGAUACUGAAUUAUAUACUUACCAAGCUUGGGUUCGUGUCAUGGGACUGAAGGAGAAAAUGCGAUCGGCAAGUAUUGCCUCACAAUUGGCAAGGAAAGCAGGUGAGGUUGAACGGGUGGAUGAGCGAUCUGUGAAAGGACAGGGUGGAGGCAUACGGGUCAGGGUGAUGCUCGAUGUACGUUUCCCUCUGAUGAGAUGUGCGAGCUUAACUUUGAGGAAGAAGAAGGUCUAUUUUGAUUUCAUUUAUGAGAAGAUGUCGUGUUUUUGUGGUGUUUGUGGCCUUGUGGGUCAUGUGGCCAAGGAUCAUGGGAAAGGAUUGCAUGAUGCUAGUGCCAUUAUUUAUCUCCCCUCGUUAUGGUGCUGA
rnacentral:rRNA from 1 species